UUAGUAAUUAAACUUUAAAAAUUAUCAAAAUAAAUUUUUCUUAACCGGUCGAAACGGGUUACCCAUGUGUUACCUGCAUGUAUACCCGUUAACAACCAGUUAUCAGCGGGUUCUUAACGGGUCACCCGAUAAUGACCCAAUAAGUUAUCAUGUUGACCCGAAACCCAGUAUUUUCAUGUCGUUUUCGUGUCGUGUCAGAAACUGCCGGGUCUAGUGGUUAUUAUACAAUUGUUUUAGGAAUUUUAACAAAAAAACGUCCAGUAUUAUUUAUUUUAACGAAAAAUCAUAUUUUUACACUAAAAAGUCAAUUUUGGUACUAUUCACUUUACCCUUUAUUUUGUCUUUAUCAUUAAAACUCAAAAUUUUCAAACCAUUUUCAUUAGUUUUCCUUUGUUUUUGUUGGUAACUUAAAUGAUGAGGAAGAUUUUUUCUUCAAAAAGUUUCUAGGAGUUCAUAAAGCUUCGCGUUUUUAUAUUAUAACUUAGGGUUAAAUUCUAUUUACUACCUUCAUAUUUCAUGAUUUUCAACAUUUAGUACAUUAAGUUUUUUUCAUCUCAGAGUCAUACCUAAAGUGUUAAUUUUGGGACAGUUUCAUAGAUCUGUUAGUCAAACUGUUAGUUCUCAUGUUAAGUGAUGACGUGACGCCCAGGUGGACAAUGACUGGGCGACACGUGUCAUUAAAAAAUAUUAAAAGAAUUAAUUAAAUAAAAGUUAUAUAAAAAAAAAAACCCAUCCCUCCCCCCAACCCAAAAUAAGAAGAGAAGAAAAAAAAAUUCGAAUCUGCAACCCAGAAGAAGAACCUUCUGGGUACGUGUUCGCGGUCGCCCGGGUCCUUCUCCUCCUUCUUCUGGGUUGAGGGGAGGGAUGGUUUUUUUUCCUAACUUUUACUUAAUUAAUUAUUUUAAUUUUUUUAAUGACACGUGGCGCCCAGUCAUUGUCCACAUGGGCAUCACGUCAUCACUUAACGGGAGAACUAACAAUUUCACUAACAAAUGUAUGAGACUGUCCCAAUAUUAACACUUUAGGUAUGACUCUGGGAUGAAAAAAACUUGAUGUACUAAAUGUUGAAAACCACGAAACAUAAAAGUAGUAAAUAUAGUUUAACCCUAUAACUUAUUAUAUAAAAUUUAUUUUUUGAAAAAUUAUUAAUGAAAUAUGAGAUAUUUUGUCAUCAUUAAUAAAAUAUGAGAUAUUUUGUUAUUAAAACUGUAAAAUAUAUUAUGAAAAUCGGUAAAAAAUAAUACAAAUUUUUUUUUAUCUAUUUAUUACAAUUGAUUAUUGACUACAUAAUUUUUUUUUAAAUAUAUUUGCAACAGAGAUGAGUUUUGCAUAAUGAUUUACAAUAUUAAUGAUUCCACACAAAUACGAAUUUCUGUGAAACGCUUAUCAAGCGUUUUAAGGUAGAAUUUCUCCUCAUCUUUUGAGUAUCCAAGAAUUAUUUUACAUAUAUUGUUGUUGUUUCUUAAUCUUUCUUUGAAGAUCACCUUUACAAAAAAAAAAAAAUUUAAAAAUCAUUUGACUCGAAUUUUUUUCAAUCAUCCAAAUGUAUGAAAUAUAACGUAAGUGUAGAUAACAUUAAGUAACAUGUUCUGAUAAACUGCUCAUUUAUUUAAGGGCAAAAGACUGUUUACUACCCUCAUGUUUCGUGGUUUUCAACAUUUAGUACAUCAAGUUUUUUUCGUCCCAGAGUCAUACCUAAAGUGUAAAUUUUGGGAUAGUCUCAUACAUCCGUUAGUCAAACUGUUAAGUCUCCCAUUAACUGAUGACGUGGCACCCACGUGGACAAUGACUGGGCGCCACGUGUCAUUAAAAUAUUAAAAUAUUUAAAAAAAAAACCCUUCUUCCCUGCAACCCACACCCCCCAGCUUUUUUUCCCCUCUCUCUUCUUCUUCUUCUUCUUCCCCUACCUCAACCCCGACCCCCUCCCUCCUUUUUCUCCUCUCUUCCGUUCCAGUGCACGAUAGCACCCACGAUUGCCUCUUAAUACAAGCAUCAGGAUUUAAAUGGGGAAAAAAACUUGGCACAAAUCACAAAAAAAUAACACGAAAAUGUUAAAACCUACUUGAAUCUCACAUUAGAAGCUUUCACAGCAAUAACAUUCAAACCCCAAUUCACUAAACAAAUAACCACACAAAAAAAAAACAGUUUAAUUAACAAAACCUAUGAAAUUAAACACGGAACGAAAGCAACUGAGACGCAAAUACUUAACAAUACGAAAAGAAGAAGAAAACCCAACAAUUCGAAGAGGAAUUAGGGCUUACGUCGAGAACAUCAAGGAGGUCAGGGACGGAAGACGGAGGUUCCAAGAGCUGAUUCCCAGCUUCCGUAAGCUGUGCUUCGAGCUCUUUCUCUGCCAAUGCCAUUGUUCCUCCUUUCUCCUGGGUUGUCCGGUCUUGGGUCGAAAACUGGACAAGAGCAGGGAUUUGAGGCCGUUGAGGGUCAUGAGGGAGAUUUGGGGAACGGCAGAGUUGAUGAGUAGAUUGUGGAGGAGUUUCAGUGAUUUGCUGGAGUGAGGGGACGACAGUAGUGCUGAUUGAGGCGUGGGGGGAGAGAUACUUGGAGCUGAGCAAGGAGAGAAGGGAGGGAUGGGGUCGUUGGGUAAGCAGCAAGGGCGGAGCAGAGAGGGAAAACAGAAAAAAGGGGUUGGUCGCUGGAUUGGGUGGGGAAGAAGAAACAGAGAUAUGAACCCAGAUUGGCUUUUUAGGUUUAGGUUUGGUUUUUUAAUUUUUUUU
rnacentral:lncRNA from 1 species